rnacentral:rRNA from 1 species
AUUGAACGCUGGCGGCAGGCCUAACACAUGCAAGUCGAGCGAGCGGCGGACGGGUGAGUAAUGUAUGGGGACUGCCCGAUAGAGGGGGAUAACUACUGGAAACGGUAGCUAAUACCGCAUACUAUCGGAUAACCCAUAUGGGAUUAGCUAGUAGGUGGGGUAAUGGCUCACCUAGGCGACGAUCCCUAGCUGGUCUGAGAGGAUGAUCAGCCAAACUGGGACUGAGACACGGCCCAGACUCCUGCGGAGGCAGCAGUGGGGAAGAUUGCACAUAGGGCGCAAGCCUGAUGCAGCCAUGCCGGGUGGAUGAAGAAGGCCGUAGGUUGGUAAAGUACUUUCAGUCGGGAGGCGUUACCGCCGGAAGAAGCACCGGCUAACUCCGUGCCAGCAGCCGCGGUAAUU